rnacentral:lncRNA from 1 species
AGCAUACAAAUACCUCAGCAUAAAUUUAUUCAAUUACCAACCAGUCAUGGAAAAUGUAAAAUGUAUAGCCUCUUGAAAAAAGAGAGAAACAUGGAUCGUUUUAUUUCCAAAUUGAUAGAUACAAAGUAAAUUACAGUUUAGGAUUUUAAACCAAUAUAAACCAUUUUGAACACUAAUAUUAUACAUUAACCUUUCCAAUUUCUGCUACUCGUUUUCCCACGUAUCAUUUGCUUUCAACCUUCAUUAACACAACAAACAAAUGAAACCAAGACAAAUAUCAAUAAAAUUUGAAAGAUACAUAGUAAAUUACCAUUAAGGAUUUGAAAGAUAUCUAAAAAGGUCGAUUAAUCAUUAACUAAAUAUAAAAUCCAUAUAUCCUUCCUCUCUUGCCUGUAAAAAUGUAAGUAUGGUGCUGUAAUAGAUAAAAAAUUGAAAUAUGGAUGUUGUCAUAGUCAGAAAAUAAAAAAAAAAUAGCAUGUUAUUAUAAAUAAAUAAAGGAAAGUUAUCUGGUAUACAUUAACCGAAUUUAAGAGUGAGAUGCUAUAACUUGAUAUAUUUUCUCGUAAAUACUUUGAUUUAAUAUAUGAAAGUUACCUGGCAUGUACUGCAUAGUUCUGACCAAGCUUCUCAACUUCAUCCAUCUCAUAAUAUCUAAUACAUGGGCUGGCUUUAGUAAAACCAAAGCACCAAAAUUAAUUAAAAGUAGUAAAACCAAAACUGUUAUAAGUUCUCUAGUCCAUCCUACAAACAAACCAAUAACAGUUUGCAUAAAAAUACGUCAACUUUUACAAGUUUAAACAUCAAGAGGUGCAAAACCAAAAGUGUACGUUAUGUUUAUGCAUCCAAAAACUUAACAUAUGAUUAAACAUCAUCUCCAAAUUUUGGACAUGGUUGUUUGAACUCCAUAUUGAGUAGCUCUUUUGCACAUGAUAUGUUUACAUCUUGAUUCGCUUCCUAACUUUAAAUUGAGCCCUAAAAAGUAGUUGUAUGGUCAUUAAGUAGAACAUGAUUUACUAAAGUAAACAAUCAUGCAAAAUAAAGACUCUCAUACACAGACCCAAACAUACAUCACCUGAAAUAAUACAAAUGAACAUAAGCACUUGUAGCUCCAAUUACCUAAGCUUUUAUACCAAUACCAAAAAACAUAAGCACUUUUAAAAAAUAAUACAAACCAAAAAUAAUAUCUACUUUAAUAUGUAAACUACUAAGACAUAGUGUGAUAACUCGUUAAAACCUCGCCACUAAACCAAAAUAAAGACUCUUAUAGGUAUCAUGUAACUGUAUUUUACUUAAACAUAUAAUCAAACACCUUUAGGUCACUUGAUAAAUUCACACUUUUACCCUGGAUUAUCACAAAAGAGUCCAAUUUGCAAUCAUCCACAUCAACAAAUUUGUAGAAAAAAGAGACUGGGACACCAUAAUAAAAUCUAAUACCAAAAUCUUAACUAAUAGAUUAAGCCAAUCUUACAUCUGAUUCUUGCUUGAGACCUUCAAAUCCUAGAUGUAUCCAAGAGACUUGCUCAUACAUUCAUGUAAUCAGAAAUAAGAAAAUGAUUCAAACGAAAAUGAAAACCAACCUACCAUUUUUCCUAAAUUCAUGUAAUUUGAACUUAAGAUUUGUACAAGAGAGCAAAACCGAUAUAAAUUAGAAACAUAAAAUGAUGCAGGAAAUUGAUGAAAAAGAUGAAACAUAUUAACAAAAAUCUUAUAAAACUGCAAAACAGGAGAAUGAAAUGGUGUGGAAGACAAUCCAGGCAAUGUAUCGUACAUGAAUAAAGAAAAUGACCUUCUUCCUUGUGUUUCUUUUCUCCUUCGUAUUUAUCUCAUAUAUGCACAGAGAGCACAGUAACUAAAGUGAUUUAACUCAUCAUACGUUAGAAAUUGGGAUUCUACGUAAUAAAUGUAGUGUACAUAAUCAAAAUUAUCGAACAACUAAAAUUGAGUGUGAGGUAGAGAUAGAAAGAACCUAAAUGAAUUAAGGGGAGCAAAUCCAAUGGUUUUGGAUAUAUUUACAGAUCUUCAAAAGUUAGAUGAUUUUGAAAUCCAAAAUCCCCCGAAAAAACCAAAUUAAUCCUCUUUAGGUGAAGAAUUUUAAAAACUGUACCAACAAUAAAAACCAAUCAGAAACAACAUAACCGAGAUUAUUGUAUAGAAUCAAAAUUAAAGGUUGUAUCGAUUAUUGAAAAUGAGAAAAAUUACAAGGAACCAAGUAUAGCUUUAAAGGAACCCAUAAUUUUCCAUCGUUGUUUACAACAUUUUGGAGCUAUCUUGAAUGGCGAGAAGGAAUGCAACAAACCGUUGAUGGUUCGAUAGAGAUGGUGACGAUGGAUAGUUAACAACGGUGAUGGUGGACAUCUGUGAGGUUUACCAAGUGGUGGUUAGCGGUUUGACCGCCAUGAGUGAUGGUUGUCGAUGGCGACACUAAACAGGGUUGAUGGUUGGUGAUGGUGACAAUGAGAAGAGUGGGGAUAGGGUUUUUAGAAGGGCUAUCGUGCGGUGUUUGUGAUGAAGGACAAAGAUGGCUUGGAAUCGAUAUCAAGAUUGAAUGGCUGUGAAAGGAGUGUUGGAAUUGAAGAGGCAACGAUGGUGAUAUGGAAUCCAGGGAUCUACAUAUCCUCGACGGUGCUUCCAAUUCUUGAAAUACUUUAGUGCUACCGACUGCUUAGUGUGACUGAAGAGAGACGGCGAAGAUAAUGAGGGUUGUAAUUCUUGAAAUCAGUUGAAGAGAUAUACAGAAUGUCGAGCCAUAAUGGAGAAUGCAGAUAACUUUGCCGAGAUCUCAGGAUUCAACAUAGACUCCGGAUUAAAGGGUUAGUUUAGUCGAUAUUUGUCAAACUGAGGAGGUAGAAUAAAAAAGAUUGGGUCAAAAAUUUAGAAGAGAUAAGAUUUUCAAAUUUU